UAUAUAUAGGUGUGAGGCAUAAAAGAUUUUGAAUCUUUAGGGGUGAAUAUUUCAUAAUAUAUAG
rnacentral:tRNA from 1 species